GUGAGUCAUCGAAUCUUUGAACGCACAUUGCGCCCGCCAGCACUCUGGCGGGCAUGCCUGCUCGAGCGUCAGUCUAACCAUUAGGCUCUCUUAGAUGAGGGCCUAUGUUGGGGCCCUGCAGACACCGGCAGGCCCUGAAAACCAGUGGCGGGCUCGCGGUUGCCCCGAGCGUAGUAACAUCUAUGUCGCUUGCGGAGGGGCCUCGAGACUUCCAGCCAUUAAAUACGCCCUGCGCGUGGGGGGGGGGGCUAUUCCUUGUCCCCCUCCAAAGCAACAUUGACCUCGGAUUAGGUAGGAGGA
rnacentral:misc_RNA from 1 species